UUCAAACACUGGUUACAGUGCGACCACAAGUUAAGCAACAUUGAGCCUGGACAGUACCAAGAUGGGUGACCACUUGGGAAUUCUAGGUGCUGUAAG